AUGCACCCUGCCAUCGUGUUAUCUCACUGUGCUCUGCAGUGGAAGUUUCCAGAAAGCACUGAGCAAGGCAGGGCUGUGCUGCUAGGCCUAGGUGAAAUGGCGGCGUUUCCACAACCUGCACAGGCUGUGAGGAGCACUUCAGUCUGUGACACCACAGGAAAGCUCACUGUGAAGGAGAAUACCACCUUGCCUUGCUGCUUUGUCACUGCUAAUGCGAUUGUCUCCACUACCUUUUUUGCUUUUGGCUGGACUCCAGGUGUGGAUGACAAUUUCAAGGUAUCCUUCUUCUGUCCUGCUGAUGUGGCAGUAAAACAGCUAAACCUGCUUGGCUGCGUGCAUCGCCUCCUGCAGCAGGAAAGCAGCGUUGUACAGAACUCCUGCCACUGACAGGCAUGCCACAGCCUGUCCAGCCAGGUAUCCAAGGAGUAAUACAGCUUGAUAAUGUGUUAUUUUUGUGCACUCCAUAAUAUCAUUGGUGAGUAUGGUACACAAAUUAGUAGUUGGGGAUUUUAUAUGUUAAAGUCUCUAGACAGUGAAGGGGUCUCAGAACUAGUUAGGUUUUAUUUUACUAAAUGGAGUAAUUCUGGGAUAGGAAAAGUAUUGCAGCCUUUGUGCUAAUGGCACGCAGGCCCCACUGCUGCUGCUGGGUUAAACCUUUGUUUCUGUUCUCCGUUCCAUGGGCUGGAAAUGCAAUUUACGUGGGUAUAAGAAUGCAUUUGACUAAUCAAGGCAGAAGUAACAUUGUCAAAAUCAAUACAUUUAUUUCUUCUCAUGUAUUGAGUAACAAGGGAAUGGACUUUAAUUAGAUAUCUUUGACAAAAGGCCAGACUGGUAAAGAAAAUAUUUUUAGGUGAUUAAGAAUCACAUUUGCUACUUACAGUUGAUGCUGCUUUAUUAUCUGUUUGUUCUUCUGUGGGGUUUUUCAAGUUUUCUUAUUCUGGUACUAGAUGGUUAAAUUUUAACAAUUUUUGAUGUCUGCAAAGACAUACCUGUAACUUCUUUGCAAAUUCCUCCUUUAAGUUUCUGCUUCUAGCUUUUUUUUUUUGUUGUUGUUGAAAUGACACAUUAACUUCUAUCAGUUUAAAAAACAAACAAACAAACAAACCCUCCAAACCAUAUACUUUAUCUCCUCAGCCAUUUAUAUUUUUUCCUCUGCUUUAAUCUAUAGUAUCAGUAGUAAGUAUUAUAUAGUGGAGCUUCUUGGAGUUACAGAUGUCUUCAGUGACUUUGGAAACACAAGGGAUCAUUAUUUUUCAUGAUAACCAACUUGCGAUAACUGUAUACAUGCAGGUUUUAAAGGUUGCAAGAGGGUGAUAAGAGCCAGUGUUCUAAAGGUAAUUAUGUAUCUGUACUGACAUAGUGAAUUGUUAAGUGUAUUUUAUUCAGAAAUGUGCUGGACUUACUGUUUUUCUUGGUUAUGGAAUCUAACUUUCUGAAGCAUAUCAAAUUUAGGAAUAAUCUCAUAGUGUAAGCAAAAAUUACAAACUAGUUAGAGCAUGUGGAUAUUGUCUGCAUCAAAUUGAUCUAAAGCUUUAAUAAAAUAAUUGUAGGAUGCCCA
ensembl:lncRNA